AUUGAACGCUGGCGGAAUGCUUUACACAUGCAAGUCGAGCGGCAGCGCGGGGCAACCUGGCGGCGAGCGGCGAACGGGUGAGUAAUGCACCGGAACGUAUCCAAUAAUGGGGGGAUAACGCACCGAAAGGUGUGCUAAUACCGCAUACGCCCUGAGGGGGAAAGCGGGGGAUCGUAAGACCUCGCGUUAAAUGGAGCGGCCGAUGCCGGAUUAGCUAGUUGGUGAGGUAAAGGCUCACCAAGGCGACGAUCCGUAGCUGGUCUGAGAGGACGACCAGCCACACUGGAACUGAGACACGGUCCAGACUCCUACGGGAGGCAGCAGUGGGGAAUUUUGGACAAUGGGCGCAAGCCUGAUCCAGCCAUUCCGCGUGAGUGAAGAAGGCCU
rnacentral:rRNA from 1 species